rnacentral:rRNA from 1 species
CCUACGGGUGGCAGCAGUGAGGAAUAUUGGUCAAUGGGCGGAAGCCUGAACCAGCCAAGUCGCGUGAGGGAGUAAGGCCCUACGGGUCGUAAACCUCUUUUGCCGGGGAGCAGUGCCCAGCUCGUGAGCUGGGAGGGAGCGUACCCGGAGAAAAAGCAUCGGCUAACUCCGUGCCAGCAGCCGCGGUAAUACGUAGGGGGCAAGCGUUAUCCGGAUUUACUGGGUGUAAAGGGAGCGCAGGCGGCGCGGUAAGUCUGAUGUGAAAGCCCGGGGCUCAACCCCGGGACUGCAUUGGAAACGGUCGUGCUGGAGUGUCGGAGGGGCAAGUGGAAUUCCUAGUGUAGCGGUGAAAUGCGUAGAUAUUAGGAGGAACACCAGUGGCGAAGGCGGCUUGCUGGACGACAACUGACGCUGAGGCUCGAAAGCGUGGGGAGCAAACAGGAUUAGAUACCCCUGUAGUC